rnacentral:rRNA from 1 species
CCUACGGGGGGCUGCAGUGGGGAAUAUUGCACAAUGGACGCAAGCCUGAUGCAGCCAUGCCGCGUGUGUGAAGAAGGCCUUCGGGUUGUAAAGCACUUUCAGCGGGGAGGAAGGCGGUGAGGUUAAUAACCUCAUCGAUUGACGUUACCCGCAGAAGAAGCACCGGCUAACUCCGUGCCAGCAGCCGCGGUAAUACGGAGGGUGCAAGCGUUAAUCGGAAUUACUGGGCGUAAAGCGCACGCAGGCGGUCUGUCAAGUCGGAUGUGAAAUCCCCGGGCUCAACCUGGGAACUGCAUUCGAAACUGGCAGGCUAGAGUCUUGUAGAGGGGGGUAGAAUUCCAGGUGUAGCGGUGAAAUGCGUAGAGAUCUGGAGGAAUACCGGUGGCGAAGGCGGCCCCCUGGACAAAGACUGACGCUCAGGUGCGAAAGCGUGGGGAGCAAACAGGAUUAGAUACCCUAGUAGUC